rnacentral:lncRNA from 1 species
AUUUACUAACUGAUUUCCCCACAGCAGUUGCAUUUGAUCUUAUUUCCUUUUUAUAGCAUUGCUUCCCUGAUUUCCUGCAAUUGAUUAGGGUAUAUUAGAUUUGCACUAUUGUCAUCAUUAAAACUUAGGUGUAACAAUCUCCCUUUUUUUUUAUGAUGACAAUCAGAACGAGUAAACAAAGCAGAUGGCACUUACCUUUUAGUGAAGGCUCCCCUUGAGUGUGUGCAUGCCUGAAUUUUGAUGCUGAUGUUGCUCCCACUGAAUUGUUACUCUGCAUUACUCUAAUGUUUCUCCACCUUUGACAUCAAUCAGAAAGAAAGAAGAAAGUGCAGGGAGACAUGCAAGUAAU